rnacentral:rRNA from 1 species
AGGACGAACGCUGGCGGCGUGCUUAACACAUGCAAGUCGAGCGGUGAUCCUCCUUCGGGAGGUGAUCAGCGGCGAACGGGUGAGUAACACGUGGGCAACCUGCCCCUCACGCUGGGAUAACCUCGGGAAACCGGGGCUAAUACCGGAUACGACCUCGAGCGGCAUCUCUUGAGGUGGAAAGCUCCGACGGUGAGGGAUGGGCCCGCGGCCUAUCAGCUUGUUGGUGGGGUAAUGGCCUACCAAGGCGACGAC